AGACACUACUGUUACAUGCUGCAAACAUGGCCUGCAAUCUUCAAUCCAAUACUCUGUGGAGCACGCCUACUGCAGCAAUGGGCGGUUGACAUGUACAUCAAGAUUGAGAGCUGUCGGUUGAGGUGGUACAGGAAGAACCAGACGCAGAUCCGUGCCGAUUUGUAUAAAGGAGUUGUUGACGCGAUCACAUCAGGGGAGACGCGAGCAAGCGCUAUUGGGGUAAGAAUAGUGCUCCCUAGAACUUACCCUGGUGGCGACCGCGACAUGAAGAAGAGACAUAUGGAUGCCAUGGCAAUUGUCCAUACAUACGGGAAGCCUGACAUCUUCUUGACCAUGACUUGCAACCCUAAAUGGGAAGGGAUAACAAAUGAGUUGCUUCCUGGACAGACGGUGCAAGACUGACCUGAUAUUGUGGCUCGCGUGUUCUAUGGCAAACUAUAGGCUAUGAAAGAUAUGUUGCUCAAGAAGAUGCCCUGGGUGUUGUUGUUGCUUAUGUUUACGUACUCGAGUUCCAGAAGAGAGGCCUCCCCCACACACAUUUUUUGUUGA
rnacentral:rRNA from 1 species